rnacentral:tRNA from 1 species
AAGGCCUUAGCUUAAUUAAAGUGUUUGAG